UCAGUGGUUAUGAAUUUUGCUCUCUGAAGGACGUGCAAUGUUAUAUUGAAUCAGGGGACACAAGUAAAUGCAAUGUUAGGCCAAAGAAGAGAACUGCCCAGGAUGCUUGUAUUACACAGAAUCAAGAUUAUGUGAGUUCCUCCUAUUGUUUUCACUUUCUGUAGCUUGCAUGUUUGUGUGGGCUGGAAAUGUGUGAGAACAAUGCAAUCUACAAAAACAAUUAGCUUCAUCAAUUGGAAGUUCUCAUCGAUUGGAAGUUGCAGGGGAUUCAGUCUCUGACUAAACUGAUUAACUAACUGGUGUAUCUCCUUGGCAUGAUGUGCAUUAGCUUCAUCAAUUACAAUGCCUUGCUAGAGCUUCUGCCCGUGUGUUUAUUUCAUACCACAUUCAAAGUUAAAUGUACCUACGACGCCUCUUUUGGGACUGCUCGUGACGACCAUUCCGUGUUAUCCUGACAUGGCUUGCUAUGCUGUUGCGUCCGUGCAACUCUCUGUAGAAAAGACAGUAAAGUUGUCCACGCGUUGGACCCGAUGGGAGCCCCGGCCAAACCACUCCACCGCAGUUCAAUACCUGUCGCAGAUGAUCCAGACGCUGUCGUUUCCAAAGAGAACUCCCAAUGCGGUCGUGAAGAAGCUGUCGUAUAUAACAGUUGAUAAACAUGACAAAAAUUCUCCGCCGCUAUUUGGAGGACAUUAAACCUGGGAGCAGAGGAAGGAAAGCUUUAAGUUGAAUGCUACCAUGAAGGUGUUGGCCGACGAGCUCACGCCCAAAGCGCGAUGAACCACAUACAUUUUAUACCCCUGUUUUCUUGGCAAAAAUACAUUUUACUUCCUCUAAUUUUAAAUAGGAUAUUCUUGGGAAUGAGAUGUAAUUUUAGGAGAAUUACAUUUCAGCAUUUUAUUUUAUCCUGAAACUAUUGAUCUCUCUCUCCCUCUCUCUC